UCCGUAGGUGGCGCGCGUUGUCCGGAUUUACUGGGCGUAAAGAGCGCGCAGGCGGUCGGAUCAGUCGAAUGUGAAAGCCCCCGGCUUAACUGGGGAGGGUCAUUCGAUACUGUUCGACUCGAAGGCAGGAGAGGGAAGUGGAAUUCCCGGUGUAGUGGUGAAAUGCGUAGAUAUCGGGAGGAACACCAGUGGCGAAGGCGACUUUCUGGCCUGU
rnacentral:rRNA from 1 species